rnacentral:rRNA from 1 species
UCAAGCUACAAAGAGCACAAGGGGAAUGCCUUGGCACCGAGAGCCGAAGAAGGACGUGACUAACUGCGAUAAGCUGCGGGGAGCCGUAAGUAGGCUUUGAUCCGCAGAUUUCCGAAUGGAGCAAUCCGGCAAGAGGAAAGUCUUGUCAUCAUAUACUGAAUACAUAGGUAUAUGAGGGGAACCGCCUGAACUGAAACAUCUAAGUAGGGCGAGGAAGAGAAAUCAACUGAGAUUCCGUAAGUAGUGGCGAGCGAACGCGGAAGAGGCCAAACCGAGAGUAGUAAUACUUUCGGGGUUCGGACAGAAUACGGCAUUGUAAAGGUUUAGUGGAAUGGAAUGGGAAGUCCAACCGAAGAAGGUGAGAGUCCUGUACACGAAAAGCCUGAACAGCCAUCUGUAUCCAGAGUACCGCCGGACACGUGAAACCCGGUGGGAAUAUGGGGGGACCAUCCUCCAAGCCUAAAUACUACUCGGUGACCGAUAGUGAAGAAGUACUGUGAAGGAAAGGUGAAAAGUACCCCUGACGGGGAGUGAAAAAGAACCUGAAACCUUGUGUUUACAAGCACCGAAAGCUCAUCAAAGAGCGAUCGGGUACCUUUUGUAGAAUGGUCCGGCGAGUGAAUGUAACCGGCGAGGUUAAGCACUUAAGGUGUGAAGCCGCAGCGAGAGCAAGUCUGAAUAGGGCGUAUGAAGUCGGUUGUAUUCGACCCGAAACCGGGUGACCUACCCAUGGUCAGGUUGAAGUAAAGGUAAAACUUUAUGGAGGACCGAACCGACUCCCGUUGAAAUGGUAGCGGAUGAACUGUGGGUAGCGGAGAAAUUCCAAUCGAACCCGGAGAUAGCUGGUUCUCUCCGAAAUAGCUUUAGGGCUAGCCUUGAAAUAGAUUACCGGAGGUAAAGCACUGAAUUGGCUAGGGGCCGAGAGGUUACUGAACCUUAUCAAACUAAGAAUGCCGGAUAAUCGUUUUUCAGGAGUCAGACAGUGGGAGAUAAGUUUCAUUGUCAAAAGGGAAACAGCCCAGACCCACAGCUAAGGUCCCCAAGUAUAGUUAAGUGGAAAAGGAUGUGGAAUUGCACAGACAACCAGGAUGUUGGCUUAGAAGCAGCCACUCAUUAAAAGAGUGCGUAAUAGCUCACUGGUCGAGUGACUCUGCGCCGAAAAUUUAACGGGGCUAAACUAUACACCGAAGCUUGGGAUACAUCUAAUGUAUGGUAGGAGAGCGUUCUGUAUGGGGAGAAGUCGUAGCGAAAGCGGCGGUGGACUAUACAGAAGUGAGAAUGCCGGAAUAAGUAGCGAGAAUUAAGUGAGAAUCUUAAUGGCCGAAAGUCUAAGGUUUUUGGAGGAAGGUUCGUCCGCUCCAAGUAAGUCGGGAGCUAAGGUCAGGCCGAAAGGCGUAGCCGAUGCACAUACGGUUGAUAUUCCGUAACCAUCUGUAAUUUAAGCAAAGGGACACUUCAAAAGGGUGUGACCCGGGCGUUGGUUGACCCGGGCGUAAGGGACCGAAAUUAGAGUAGGGAAGCACACUUGGCUGAAGGCGAGAAAAGCUUUGCGUAUAGAAGCAGAUGCCCGUACCGCAAACCGACACAGGUGGACAGGAAGAGAAUUCUAAGGCCAGCGGGAGAAGGGUAGUUAAGGAACUCGGCAAAUUGACUCCGUAACUUCGGAAUAAGGAGUGCUCGAAAGAGCCGCAGAGAAUAGGCCCAGGCGACUGUUUAGCAAAAACACAGGUCUCUGCCAAAUCGAAAGAUGAAGUAUAGGGGCUGACACCUGCCCGGUGCCGGAAGGUUAAGAGGAGGAGUGAGAGCUCCGAAUUGAAGCCCCGGUAAACGGCGGCCGUAACGAUAACGGUCCUAAGGUAGCGAAAUUCCUUGUCGGGUAAGUUCCGACCCGCACGAA